rnacentral:rRNA from 1 species
AUUGAACGCUGGCGGCAGGCCUAACACAUGCAAGUCGAGCGAGCGGCGGACGGGGGAGGAAUGUAUGGGGACUGCCCGAUAGAGGGGGAGAACUACUGGAAACGGUAGCUAAUAACGCAUACUAGCGGAUAACCCAUAUGGGAUUAGCUAGUAGGUGAGGUAAUGGCUCACCUAGGCGACGAUCCCUAGCUGGUCAGAGAGGAUGAUCAGCCACCCUGGGACUGAGACACGGCCCAGACUCCUACGGAGGCGUCAGUGGGGAAUAUUGCACAAUGGGCGCAAGCCUGAUACAGCCAUGCCGCGUGUAUGAAGAAGGCCCUAGGGUUUUAACGUACUUUCGGUCGGGAGGCGUUACCGACAGAAGAAGCACCGGCUAACUCCGUGCCAGCAGCCGCGGUAAUUC